GACGGAAGGUGCAAGCGUUGCUCGGAAUUAUUAGGCGUAAAGAGCUUGUAGGCGGUUUGUCGCGUCUGCUGUGAAAUUUCGGGGCUCAACCCCGAACUUGCAGUGGGUACGGGCAGACUAGAGUGUGGUAGGGGAGACUGGAAUUCCUGGUGUAGCGGUGAAAUGCGCAGAUAUCAGGAGGAACACCGAUGGCGAAGGCAGGUCUCUGGGCCAUAACUGACGCUGAGAAGCGAAAGCAUGGGGAGCGAACAGG
rnacentral:rRNA from 1 species